rnacentral:rRNA from 1 species
GGGGAAUUUUGCGCAAUGGGGGAAACCCUGACGCAGCAACGCCGCGUGAAGGAUGAAGGCCUUUGGGUCGUAAACUUCUGUCAGAGGGGAAGAAAUGCCAGCAAUGGCGCUGACGGUACCCUCAAAGGAAGCA